UGCACCACAUGGGUUUGCGACUUUCCACGCUAAAUGAGAUGCUUAUAAAAAUACAUAUAGACAUUUGAAAUUCGCGCAUUUUUUGCAUGGCUUGUGCUAGACAGCAAUGCAUUCGUGCCGUGAAUCGCUCACGAAUAGCAGACAGAUUAGAACACCCGCAAGACACAUAGCAGGCUUAGACGGCGUUAUUGUAAUCAUACCUAGGAUUGACUGGUUAAUGCGCGAAAUAACCAACCGUUUUGGUCAAAGUCCGAAAUUAUUUUUUCAGUUUCUACCUUUGACCAACCAUGUUAGUCACUCCUAGGAUGGACUAAAAACAUAUCGGUCAAAGGCCGAAAUACAAAACUAUUUCGGGCUUUGACCAAAACGCUUGGUUAUUCCGGUUAUUGACCAGUCAAUCCUAAGGUUUGUUCUUUCUAUCUGAACUUCUGGUACUAGUUUAAAAAGUGUACACUAAAGCGUUCUUUUUAGCAGAAAUGACGUCAGUAGUCACUGUUCUUUUCAACAGUGCAGUAGAACUUAGUGCAAGAGUUCUCUGAACUGCUUGCCCUAGGUCUGGAGGUAGUGCACAGCGUGCAAAGCAGUACGAAGCAGUACAAUACGAGAAGGUGUACAAUUUCUAUUAAAAUAUAAGGAAAUAGAUUUUACUUGCGAUACAUUGCAAUGUACUGUUGAUGACCAAUUAAUAUUUAUUAAAUUACAUGAAAACAUAAACUCAACAAAUGAUACCAAUGAUCAACAAAAUGAUGAAAAUUAUGGUCAUGAGAACAUUAAUGAUUAUAAUGAAAAUUAUAUUAAUGAAAAUAAUACUAAUGAAGAAAACAAUGGUAAUAAAAUAAAUGAAGAUAAAAAAGAAACAUUUUUUUGGGACGAUGCAACGACAAAAUUGUUCUUGCAAUUAUACAAAGAAAAAAGUGAUUUAUUGGUAAAUAGAAAAAUUAGAACCAAGAAAAUGUUAUGGCAAAAAAUAACCGAAAGUAUGCAAAGAUAUGGAUAUAAUAUUACACUUAUACAAGUAGAAAACAAGUAUAAAUCUUUAGAAAGAAGUUACAAAAAUAUGAUUUUAAAUAAUAAUAAAACAGGCAGAGCUCGCAUAUCAUGUCCAUAUGAAACGCAGUUAACUGAACUUAUGGGUCAUAGGCACAACAUCCGUCCAUUGGCAGUAUCUGGAAAGCAAAGCUUACUUUUACGAGAGGAUGUCCAAAUUAACAAAUCUUUAAAAUCAAAUUGAUGUCAAUUUGGAAACCGAAUCAACAACAUCAAGCACUAUAUCGGAAAAUGUCGAACCUCCGCCAAGGGGAUCCUCUUCUCGAGAAGAAAUCUCGAAUAUAACUAUAAAUAACAUUGAAAAUAACUCUUUAAAUCAAUUGCAGACAGUAUCACAUAAUAGGCAAAGAAAAGAAAUAAGUAAUACGACAAGACCUUCAAAAAUGUGGCACAAAACAAUGGAACAACUUUUAAAUAAUAUUCAGCAAGAAAAGGCUAAAAAAAAUGAAGUACAACAACAGUUAAUAACGGAAUAUAAAGAGAUGAGAAAUACUUAUAAAGAAUCAAUGAAAAAAUAGAGGAACAACUAAUGAAGGCAAAUCAA
rnacentral:misc_RNA from 1 species